rnacentral:rRNA from 1 species
GGAAAUCUCACCAGGCCCGGACACUGGAAGGAUUGACAGAUUGAUAGCUCUUUCUUGAUUCAGUGGGUGGUGGUGCAUGGCUGUUCUUAGUUGGUUGAGUGAUUUGUCUUGUUAAUUCCGAUAACGAACGAGACCUUAACCUGCUAAAUAGUGACGCGGUUCAUCGAACCGUGGGCCACUUCUUAGAGGGACUAUCGGAUUCAAACCGAUGGAAGUGUGAGGCAAUAA